rnacentral:lncRNA from 1 species
GGUUUUGCAGUUUGUAUUUUAUUGUGUAUUUUAUUUUGUACCCCCUGAUCCUCUCCUUCUUGUGUUCUGUAAUGUACAGCACUUUGUGGUACAGUUUAUGUACGAAAAGUUCUUUAUAAAUAAAGUGAUUGAUUGAUUGAUAUUAAAGGUUAGAAGUCGCUCUUUGGCUGUUUAAAUCAGUCUGUGCUCGGUGUAGAGAUUUGGCGCCAUCCAGUGGUCAGAGUGAAUACGACCUAAAAUGAGUCCCUAAAACUGGGUGAAUGGCCCCUUCAGUUAUUCAAACAAUAAAAACAUCUGGCCCCAUCACUCAUGAUGAUCCCUGAGGGUGUUUUUGUGGCAGAAGCUUUAAUCUACAUGAAGACGAUUCAGAGACAUGAAAAAGUUUAAAUUAUGAGCCACAGAGUUGAUCAAACAUAUGUCACACACAUGCACACCACUACGACUAUCCAGGUCUGCUUUCAGUUCACUCAGCUCUCUCUGUAUGUUUGUUUGUAUGAGCUGCCCAAACACAUGAAGAGUCAACAGUAUACAUUUAUUUAGAGAAAAGAAUCUUGUUAUUUUGCCUGUUCUGGUUGAUCUCUCCCUCCUCUCUCUCUCUCUCACACACAGUCGAGCCUGAAAGUGAAGCUGCCACUCAGGAGUCAAAGACAUCUGAGUUGUGGGAGGAGGCGGCGGGCGUCCUGGAAAAAUGCCUGGAAUCCAUUUUAUUCUCCUUUUGUAUGUAUGUGCGGCUGAACGCAGUUUACCAUUGUUACCAAAACAGAACUGUUGCCAAAACACAAUCUUCUAAUGAUUACUCCUUCCUUUUUUUUUUAACCACAUUUACAGAAUUUGAAGACAUGUUUUUAACUGUCAGAGCAUGCCAAGCGUUUAAAAAUGUCUCACCUGUAUGUUAAAUUACAAAAUAUGGAUACAGCAAUAUCUAUAGAUAUCAAUCAAUGUUGACAUGUCAGCUGAAUGAAUACAACAGUCUGAAUAGUUUUCUGCUAAUUUGGCUGUUUGUGUCGUGAAUACAAUCUUUAGAAAUUUGCACUUUCUUUAAUGUGAAAUACGUUUUAUUCACUCUUCAGAAGUUAAUCUGAUUUUACAAGAUAGCUCCAGAUGGUGUGAAAAAUAACAUUUAUUUUGAGAACUAAACAUUUUACUCUUUAUUUGCACACUUGCAAAGUGUGUCAGACUCAUGCACAAACUGAAAUGUGAUUGAAGAGUCAUGUGGUACUUAUUUGUGACUUUAGAUAUACAAAGUAAAAUACUUUAGUGACACAUAAAUCUAACUGCAGGAACAGUUUUCUUGGGUUAAUUUCUUUUGGUCUAAAAUGAGUUUGUUUUUUUUGCAUUUGUGAUUAAUAUAAAAAGUCUGCUUCCAUGCUCUGUCACUAUAUUUGUCUCUGAUUUUGCAGUUUUGAGGUCUAAAGUUAACUGUUUGUUCUACCAUGAAGAGUCUGAAACAAUGCAGACGUGAGCAGGACAGGGGGGGAAACCUUCAGGCUCAUAUAGGUAAUCCUGUAAAUGUGUGCAUGUGUGUGCAUGUACUGAGCUCCGAUCCUGUCAGCCUCAUAAACCUGGUCUAAAGAAAAAAAAACCCCGAGAUGUUUCAUCAGGAACCACCCAGAGAGAUGUUUGUUCUGAUGGACUUUUCCACAUUAGAGAAUCUCAAUGAAGAAGGAGCAGCUUUUGGAUUUAUUGUGCUGCCUAUAGGAAUAAUGUGUGUGUGUGUGUGUGUGUGUGUGUGUGUGUGUGUGAGUGUGAGUGUUGGGCAAAGACAGACAGGCAGUGGAAUUUGGAAUCUGCAGCAGCAUAUUUUUAUUAGUUGGGCAGCACCUUUGUCCUGUCCUAGCAUGCUUCGUGCGUGCAUGCGUGCAUGCGUGUGUGUGUGUGUGUGCGUGUGUGUGUGUGUGUGUGUGUGUGUGUGUGUGUGUGUGUGUUUGAAGAGGAGCAAAAAAAAAACAAAUGUGGCAUGAGCUCAACUCCAUGUUGGAUGCUUUGUAUCCUCCACUGUAGAUAGAAACUCUGCAGGCAGCUUCGCCUCGACUAAUAGAAACUUUUUGCAGAUGUGCUCGUGCACGAGUGCGUAACAUCGUUACACUUUAGUGCCUGUGCGCGUGCACGCUGAAGCCAGAUAGAGACGCUGCUGCAGCACCUUAACCCUUUAAUGCCUUUUGUAUCAUAUUUGAUUCAUACUUUUAAGAAUAAGAAGAACUUUAUUGAUCCCUGAAGGGAAAUUCAACUGUCUGUCGUCUAACUUGACAUGCCUCUCGAAGUUAGGUAUCUAUUAUUUACAGAAGAGUUAUAAAGUCUGAUGUCUGUUGGUACAAAAGAUCUUCUGAAUCUUUCUGUCCUGCAGUGAAGAGAGAGGAGCCGUCCACCACCAUCGGCCCUUUGGUCCAUCAGGGUGUCGUGAAGUGGGUGAUCCAUGUUCUUCAGAAUAGUCUCCACCUUCCUCAGUGUAGAUCUCUCCACCACAUCCUCCACAGAGUCCAGCCUUUUUCACCAGUUUGUUCAGACGUCUUCAUCUUUGUGUUUGAUGCUUCCUCCCCAGCAGACUGCAGCGUAGAACAGAACACUGUAGAUCUACACCACAGACUGAUAAAACAGCUGCAGCAUCUAACUACAGACGUCUAUUGAUCGGAGUCUUCUCAGGCUAAAGAGGCGGCUCUGCCCCUUUCUGUAGAUGAAGUCUAUAUUUUCUUAGACCAGUCCAACUUCUUAUCCAGAUGUACACCUAGGUAUUUAUAUGAUGUCACCACUUCGAUGUCCACUCCACAGGUGUUCACAGGUGUGUUUUAUAAACUUCUAUCAAAUCAAUAUGAUCAACAAACUACUUAAAAAAACACCCGAAUACAGUCGGA